CGUCGAUAUCAAAACAAAAUCGACAACCAGAAUACAGUCUGUUCUUACACAGGACUUCACGGCCGAUGUUAUGACCCCAAUCAAAUGUCAAAGAUAUAUCAUGCAUACAAUCCUCAUUUAAAUGCCCACAAAAAACAUGGCCGCAAUAAACAGAUUCAACCUUCAAUUUACAAUGAAAAGCAAUAUCGACCUUAU